UGAAGGGGAUUUUUUGAACAGAAAGGGAUUUCACAGUGUAAAUGUGCAAGUAAAUUACUAUAACAAUUAUUCAUAUUCCAGAUAAGCAAUAAAUAAAUAAAAGUAACGUAAUCAAAAAGUAUGCAGACUGAUUUCAAAUAUUUUAGAUGGUGUGCGACUCCAUGUUCCACAUCACAAAUGUGGAAGCCACAUGGCCUGGUUCUGUGGGUGACUCCAAGAUUUUCAGAGAGUCACAUUUAUGCACAUUAUUUGAACGUGGUGCUGACGAUGGGAUCCUGUUUGGCGACAGGGGCUAUGCCUUCAGGCAGGCAGUACUUCAUGACACCAUUCCCUGGACCACAAACCCGUUACAAUGCAGCUCUAGCCAGGACAAGGCCACGCAUUGAAAUGACCUUUGGCCAACUAAAGGAAGAUUUCAGUGUCUUAAGGGUCUGAGGGUUGCACCUGGAGAGGACCCCUGUGGUGGAGGUGCAGCCUGAUGAUGACCUCCAGCCAGUGCACUUGGACCAAUAGUGGCAGAGCUGCACAGGACAGUAUUGUGGAACACGAUUUUAUGAAUUCUUUUUUUUACACAUAAACUUUCAUUAAAUGAAUAAUAGAAGACAACA